rnacentral:rRNA from 1 species
UAGCUGUGUUGGCUUUCUAACCCGCACCACUUAUCGUGGUGGGAGACAGUGUCAGGCGGGCAGUUUGACUGGGGCGGUCGCCUCCUAAAAGGGAACGGAGGCGCUCAAAGGUUCCCUCAGAAUGGUUGGAAAUCAUUCAUAGAGUGUAAAGGCAUAAGGGAGCUUGACUGCGAGACCUACAAGUCGAGCAGGGUCGAAAGACGGACUUAGUGAUCCGGUG